rnacentral:rRNA from 1 species
CCCUCUGGGGUGCAGCAGGCGGAACGAUAAGUCACUGGUGAAAGCCUACAGCUUAACUGUAGAAUUGCCGUUGAUACUGUCGUUCUUGAGUGCAGUUGAAGUGGGCGGAAUGUGUUAUGUAGCGGUGAAAUGCUUAGAUAUAACACAGAACACCGAUAGCGAAGGCAGCUCACUAAGCUGCAACUGACGCUCAGGCACGAAAGCGUGGGGAUCAAACA